GGCUAAACUUCAUUUUAUGGGCAAUUUAUCAUGAGUCAUGCAUUUGGUAAUAUUGGUAAUGUUGCUCUCAAAGUCUCACAUAAAAUGGGUAACAAGAAGUUUGUACAUACCUUAUCUUUCUUUGUGCUGUCCACAUCAGUCUUUCUUUUGGGCUUUUGUAUUUCCUCACUUGUUACUUUGACUUCUGUAACAGUUCUCUGCAUUUUAUCUUUCGUCUGAUCCAUAUGUUCUCUCUCAGUCUUUACUUGUUCUCUCUUGAUUUCCAGCUCUUCUUUUUGCCUCUGUAUUUUUGCCUUCAUCAGUUCUAAUUCAUCCCGCUCUCGCAGAAUCUUCUCCAUCCUUUGGUCUAGCUCCUUUCUUCUUUUUUGUGCCUCUGUCUUCAUCCGUCUGAUUUUGUCCUUUUCUCCCUUUAAUUCUUCCUUGCUCAGUUCCAUUUCUUCUUUCACCCUUCUUAACACCUCCCUGGUUUGUUCCACCUCUAGAAUCAAUCUCUGGAUUUCAGCAUUCAUUCUGUCUUUGUAACCCAUCUCCAUAUUGCUUUCUUCCAUCCUGUUUUCCAUUGAUACUUUUGUUUGUCGUAUCAUUUCUCUGGUUCGCUCCACCUCUUGGAUUAAUCUCUGUAUCUCAGCAUUCAAUUGAUCCUUCCCAUCAAUGUUUUCAAAGCUCUCUUCCAUACGAAUCUCCAGUUCCUCUUUGGCUCUUUCUAUUUCAGCCUUUGCCUGUUCAAUUCCAUGUUUCUCCCUUUUGCUCUCUUCCCUUCUUUGUUCCAUCUCUUUUUUAGCUUUCUCUAUUUCCUUCUUAAUCUUUUCCAUUUCUUCUUUUUGUCUCAAGGUCUUUCUCAUCCUCUGUUCAAGGUCCUUUUUCUUCAUUUGUAUCUCAUUCUUCACUAGUUCCAACUCUUCUAUUUCUCUCUUGGUCUUAUGUAUCUUGUCCUCAAUAUCCUGCUUUUGUCUCUGGAUGUCUUCCCUCAGUCUUUGCAUCUCAUCCAUUUCUGUCUUAGCUUGUUGCAUUUUUAUGUCAAUUUCCACUUUCUGCUUCUGUAUUUUAGAUUCUAUCCAUUCCAUCUCCUCUUUGUCACUCUUAGUUUUUGCCAUCUUGUUUUCAAUGUCCUCUUUUUGUCUUUGUAUUUCAGCUUUUGUCUGUUCUAGCUUGUCCGUCUCUCUCUUUGUUUUCUCCAUCCUUUCUUCAAUCUCAUCUCUUUGCUUCUGUAGGUCAAGUUUCAUUGAUUCUAUCUGGUUCAUCUCUUUCUUGAUUUCCUUCAUUUUCUUAUUUAACUCCACCUUUUCUUUUUUCAGUUUGGCUGUCUUUUCACGGUCCUCCCUCUCUACAUUGUCCCAGAUCUUCUCCAUCUCUUCUUUUACUCUAGUUAGCUCAUAUCUUACUUUUUCAUAUUGUUCUCUUUCCCUCUUCGUUUUCUCGCUUAUUCUCUCCAAUAGUUCAUUUUCUCUUAGAAUAUCUUCUUUCAUCUGUUCCAUCACGUCUCUGGCUUGCUUUGUUUUCUUAAUUGUUCUUGUCAUUUCCUCACGCUGGUUCUGUAUUUCAACCUUCAUCCGUUCAACUUUGUCUCUCUCUUGAUUAGAGGUAUCCCUUGCUUGUUUUAACUCCCUCUGUAUUUCCUUCUUGGUUUGCUCUAUCUCCUCUCUUUCUCUCUGAAUGUGAGCUCUAUGUUCAAACUCUUCCUUGGCAGUUUCAUUUCUCCUUCUCUCAAUCUCCUGCUUUUCCUUUAGUGUCUCACACCGAAGCAAUUCCAGGUCCUCUCUUUCUCGGUUGGUUUCAAGACGUUGUCUUUCCAAGACAGCCCGUUCUGACAAAACCUCUAUUUUAAUUUUCUCUAGUAUCUCUCUGUCUUGCUUUGCUUCUUCUGUCUUCUUUUGUAAAUCACCUUCCUUAUUCUGAAGCUUUAUUUUUUCAUACUCCUCUUUAGAUCUCUGUAUCUUAUCUCUUAUUUUUUCCAAAAUGUCUCUUUCUCUUUGAAUCUCAGCUCGUUGUUCAAUUUCUUCUUUCACAACUUCAUAUUUUUGUCUCUCAAUUUCAGCUUUUACUCUUCCAACCUCAUUCCUUUGCUUUUCCAGCUGUAGCUUUUCCUGAGUCACCUCCUCUUUUGCUCUCUUCGCCUCCAUCAUACAGUUCUCCAUUUCUUUCAUUUGUUUUUGGAGUUCAGCCUUCAUCUCUAUGACCUCUUCCUUCUCUUGCUUUGUGACUUCUUUGCUCUUCUGAAUGUCUUUCUUUUCUUCCUGAAGUUUUUGCUCCAUUUCUAUUAGGUCCUCAUUUUUAAUUUUGGCCUCUUUAGAUUUUUUCUCUGCCAUUUGUUUUUCUUUUUCAACAUUUACUUUUAUAUUUUCCAGGUUUUCUUUUUCUUGCUGAAUUUCCAACUUUCUUUUUUCUAUUUCACCCUGGACUUCCUGUAUUUCCUCCUUCAACUUUUCUAGUAAUUCUUUCUCGCACUGUGAUAUUGCUUUCUUUUCCAACUCUGUUUUCUCAGCUUCGCAAAAUCUUCUCUCCAUUUCCUCUUUUAAUUGAAUUAUUUCAUACCUAAUCUCUUCAUAAUGCUCUAUCUCUUUCUUUGUCUUUGUUCUUAUACCCUCCAAAUUGUCCCUUUCUCUCUGUAUCUCUGCAUGUAUUUCUUCCAUUUUUUCUUUUGCUUGUUUUGUUUCCGUAACUUUAGCUUCUAUAUCUUCUAUCUGUUUCUGUAUAUUCAUUUUCAUUUCUGCCAUUUCAUCUUUUUCUCUUUUUGUGAUCUCCCUGCUUUGCUCAGUCUCCUCUUUUAUUUUCAUUGUUUCAAAGUGUGUCCUUUCCAACUCUUUUCUCUCUCUCAUUAAAUCUUGUUUUUUCCUCUCCAGGUUUUCUUUUUCAUUCUGAAUUUCAGCACUUAAUAGUUCUAUCUCUUCUCUCUGUCGCUUUACUUCUUCAACCAACUUUUUGGCUUGAGCUCUCUCUAUGUCUAGUCUUGUUUUUUCAACCUCCCUGGCUUUCUGUAUUUCAAACUUCAGCCUUUCCACUUGUUCCCCCUCCUUCUGUAUUUCAGCCCUUUGCUCCAGCUCCUCCUUGACUGUCUCAUACCUUCUUUUUUCCAUUUCCUCCUUCAAUCUUAUGGUGUCAUCUCUUUGUUUCUCCAGUGCCUCUUUCGCUCUCUGUAUAUCUGCUUUUACCUGUUCCAUUCGAUCAUUUUCUAUCUUUGUUUCCUUCAUUCUUUUCUCAAUCUUUUCCAUUUUUCUCUGCAGAUCAACUUUCCUCUGUUCCAGCGUUUUGUUCUCUCGCUUUGCCACUUCUCUGUUUUGAUUCAUUUCCUCUGUUUCCAAUUGAAUUGCAUACCUAAUCUGCUCCAACUCUUUUUGUUUUCUUAAUGUCUCUUGUUUGUCCUUCUCAAGUAAAUUCUUUUCUAAAUUAAUCUCUGUUUUCAUUUCGUUUAUCUGGUCUUUCUCUUGGUUGGUCUUUUCCCUGCUUUGAGCCAUCUCUUCUUUAGCCCUCUGUAGCUCAGCUUGUACAAUUGCCAGUUCAUCUUUCUCUUGCUUGAUCCUAGUUCUCUGCUCAAGCUCUUCUUUUUCAGUUUCAAACCACCUCCUCUCCAUCUCUUCUUUUACUUUAUUUAUCUCAUUUUUAAUCUGCUCAAAUUGUUCUGUUUUUCUUUUGAUAUCAUUCCUUUUGGUCUCCAGCUGAUCUCUCUCCCUGUGUACCAUCGCUCUUAUCUCUUCCAUUUUCUCUUUUGCUUGAUUUGUUUCUGCAAUUCUUAUUUCUAUUUCCUCUAUCUGUCGCUGAAGGUCAGAUUUCAUCCAUUCCAUUUUCUCCUGGUCUUUUUUUGUCGUUUCCCUGCAUUGCUCCAUCUCCUCUUUUGCUUUCAAUGUCUCAUAUUUAAUCAAUUCCAAACUCUGUCUCUCAUUAAUGGUCUCAUUGCGUCUUCUCUCCAGAAUGUCUUUCUCAUUUUGGACAUCAGCCCAGAUUUGUCUAAUUCGUUCUUUCUCUAUAUUUAUUUCCUCUUUGUUCUGUUCUAGUUUUUUAUUCACAUUCUCCAUCUCCAUUCUCAUCAGCUCCAUUUUUGUGUUUUGCUCGUGUUUUUCAGCUAUUAGCUUUUCGAUUUCAUCUUGUUGUUGCUUAAUCUUUCCUUUCAUGUAGUCAGUAUCAUUUCUUUCUCUUUUUGACCCCUCCCAAAGUUUUUCAAUCUCCUCAAUUGCUUGCAUUGUUUCUUGUCGUCGUCUCUUAAGUGAGUCCUUUUUUCUCUGUAUUUCAACUUUCUGUGUUUUUGUGUCCUGUGAUUGUCUGGCAUCUUCAUGCGUUGGCUCCUGUCCUGUCUGUGUUGUCUUACUGUUACGUUGUCUCUGCUCUGUUUUUGGUAAGGAAGAACAAU
ensembl:lncRNA